rnacentral:rRNA from 1 species
UGCCCUACAGUUCCCUGACCGGGAACAAGGAGCCGGUAUCAGGCACGUCCCUAGAGCCCACGACACCUUGCUCAGCCACACCCUCAAGGGAACUCAGCAGUGAUAAACAUUAAGCCAUAAGUGAAAACUUGACUUAGUUAAAGCUAAGAGGGCCGGUAAAACUCGUGCCAGCCACCGCGGUUAUACGAGAGGCCCAAGUUGAUCAACACCGGCGUAAAGAGUGGUUAAGUUAAACCUCACAUUAAAGUCAAACAUCUUCAAGGCUGUUAUACGCAACCGAAGGCAGGAAGUUCAACCACGAAAGUGGCUUUAUUUAUUCUGAAUCCACGAAAGCUAAGGAACAAACUGGGAUUAGAUACCCCACUAUGCCUAGCCCUAAACAUUGAUAGUACUAUACACCCACUAUCCGCCCGGGAACUACGAGCAAUAGCUUAAAACCCAAAGGACUUGGCGGUGCUUUAGAUCCACCUAGAGGAGCCUGUUCUAGAACCGAUAACCCCCGUUCAACCUCACCCCUACUUGUUAAUCCCGCCUAUAUACCGCCGUCGUCAGCUUACCCUGUGAAGGUUAAAUAGUAAGCAAAACUGGUACAGCCCAAAACGUCAGGUCGAGGUGUAGCGUAUGGAGGGGGAAGAAAUGGGCUACAUUCGCUACCACAGCGAACACGAAAGGUGGGCUGAAAUGCCCUCCUGAAGGAGGAUUUAGCAGUAAGCAG